rnacentral:rRNA from 1 species
UGGGGAAUAUUGGACAAUGGGCGAAAGCCUGAUCCAGCCAUGCCGCGUGUGUGAAGAAGGUCUUCGGAUUGUAAAGCACUUUAAGUCGGGAGGAAGGGCAGUAAGCGAAUACCUUGCUGUUUUGACGUUACCGACAGAAUAAGCACCGGCUAACUCUGUGCCAGCAGCCGCGGUAAUACAGAGGGUGCAAGCGUUAAUCGGAAUUACUGGGCGUAAAGCGCGCGUAGGUGGUUCGUUAAGUUGAAUGUGAAAGCCCCGGGCUCAACCUGGGAACUGCAUCCAAAACGUGCGAGCUGGAGUAGGGCAGAGGGUGGUGGAAUUUCCUGUGUAGCGGUGAAAUGCGUAGAUAUAGGAAGGCACACCAGUGGCGAAGGCGAGCACCUGGGCUCAUACUGACACUGAGGUGCGAAAGCGUGGGGAGCAAACAGG